CCUACGGGAGGCAGCAGUGGGGAAUUUUGGACAAUGGGGGCAACCCUGAUCCAGCCAUGCCGCGUGCGGGAAGAAGGCCUUCGGGUUGUAAACCGCUUUUGUCCGGGAAGAAAAGGCCUCCCCUAAUACGGGAGGUUCUUGACGGUACCGGAAGAAUAAGCACCGGCUAACUACGUGCCAGCAGCCGCGGUAAUACGUAGGGUGCGAGCGUUAAUCGGAAUUACUGGGCGUAAAGCGUGCGUAGGCGGUCCGUUAAGUCUGAUGUGAAAGCCCCGGGCUC
rnacentral:rRNA from 1 species